ACAGUUGCUUAAUGUCACACGACAACGUUGCUACAGCCUUCUCACGUCUUAACAAUGUAGCGAGCACGUAAGCGGUUAGUGGUGAUGUUGCCUUUGAAAACAUGCAACGUUGUACAGACAUCGCUACAACGUAAAUGUGUUUGUUGGCGAAGUGCCUUCUUAAUACGUCUGCAGAAAAGACGCCGCGGCCUGCUGAGUUUGUUGACAGCUGAUCCCAUUUGUUUAAGCGCAGACUGAAGAUAUCGGCCUGUUCUUGGUUUGAGGCCUGAAAACGCAUCUGAUCCUGAGAGUGACUGUAGAACAUAGUACAAGGCGGCCAGAAACUCCUGCACGCUGGUGUGGAGGAAAUGAAAGCCCUUUUCUAAGGUGAGGGACGCUCGAUCCUCUUUAAGGAUCUCGAAGAGGAACACCUGUGAGAGUUUGGUGCUAUCCAGAUUAAAAGAGUUUAUAUCGGAGCUUUCAAAGAUGAAUCGUCUCUCCAGGAGGCCUUUGAAGGCCAUCGCCCCGAGACUUUUGAGUACUGGCUGCAUUUCAGCCAGGACAUGAGGAGCAUGCUGAAGCCUGGUGUGAUGGGAGCCCUCGCUUCGCCCUUGGGCAUGGAACAGCACGAUGGAUUUAACGAAACAGCAGUAAAUCUCGGUGAUCGUCACAGGUUUGGAGCUCAUCUCAGAAGGUAUCUGUAGGUCAUCUUUAUCGAGGCCUUCUUGCUCUCCUGACUUGGCAUUUACAGGAUCAGGAUAAAGGCAGGAGCCACCGUCAUGCAAGGCAGUGGACACAAUCCAACAGAAUGCGGGAAUGUGGCACAUGAGGAGAAGGGGUUUAUGGGACGACACUGAGGCCCAAACUGCAGCAGCAGCCUCAGGAGAUCUGCAGUUCUUCUCAAAGUACUGCUUCUGCUGAUCUACAGAGAAACCCAACAGGCUGUAAUACUGGCUGACCAG
rnacentral:lncRNA from 1 species